UACGAAGGGUGCAAGCGUUGUCCGGAAUUAUUGGGCGUAAAGAGCUCGUAGGCGGUCUGUCGCGUCGGCUGUGAAAACCCGGGGCUCAACCCCGGACUUGCAGUGGGUACGGGCAGACUAGAGUGCGGUAGGGGAGACUGGAAUUCCUGGUGUAGCGGUGAAAUGCGCAGAUAUCAGGAGGAACACCGGUGGCGAAGGCGGGUCUCUGGGCAGUAACUGACGCUGAGGAGCGAAAGCGUGGGGAGCGAACAGG
rnacentral:rRNA from 1 species